rnacentral:rRNA from 1 species
UACGGAGGGUGCAAACGUUGUUCGGAAUUACUGGGCGUAAAGGGCUCGUAGGCGGCCAACUAAGUCAGACGUGAAAUCCCUCGGCUUAACCGGGGAACUGCGUCUGAUACUGGAUGGCUUGAGUUUGGGAGAGGGAUGCGGAAUUCCAGGUGUAGCGGUGAAAUGCGUAGAUAUCUGGAGGAACACCGGUGGCGAAGGCGGCAUCCUGGACCAACACUGACGCUGAGGAGCGAAAGCCAGGGGAGCAAACGGG